AUUGAACGCUGGCGGCAGGCCUAACACAUGCAAGUCGAACGAGUGGCGGACGGGUUAGUAAUGUCUGGGAAACUGCCCGAUGGAGGGGGAUAACUACUGGAAACGGUAGCUAAUACCGCAUACCAUCGGAUGUGCCCAGAUGGGCUUAGCUAGUAGGUGGGGUAACGGCUCACCUUGGCGACGAGCCCUCGCUGGUCUGAGAGGAUGACCAGCCACACUGGAACGGAGACACGGUCCAGCCUCAUACGGGAGGCUGCAGUGGGGAAUAUUGCACAAUGGGCGCAAGCCUGAUGCAGCCAUGCCGCGUGUAUGAAGGAGGCCUUAGGGUUGUAAAGUACUUUCAGCGGGGAGACGUUACCCGCAGAAGAAGCACCGGCUAACUCCGUGCCAGCAGCCGCGGUAAUUC
rnacentral:rRNA from 1 species